rnacentral:rRNA from 1 species
UACGGAAGGCAGCAGGGGGAAUAUUGCACAAUGGGCGCAAGCCUGAUGCAGCCAUGCCGCGUGUAUGAAGAAGGCCUUCGGGUUGUAAAGUACUUUCAGUCGUGAGGAAGGUGUUAAGGUUAAUAACCUUAGCAAUUGACGUUAGCGACAGAAGAAGCACCGGCUAACUCCGUGCCAGCAGCCGCGGUAAUACGGAGGGUGCGAGCGUUAAUCGGAAUUACUGGGCGUAAAGGGCACGCAGGCGGUUAAUUAAGUUGGAUGUGAAAUCCCCGGGCUUAACCUGGGAAUGGCAUUCAAGACUGGUUAGCUAGAGUCUUGUAGAGGGGGUAGAAUUCCAUGUGUAGCGGUGAAAUGCGUAGAGAUGUGGAGGAAUACCGGUGGCGAAGGCGGCCCCUGGACAAAGACUGACGCUCAUGUGCGAAAGCGUGGGGAGCAAACAGGGAUUAGAU